AUCAUUUUUGCAUAAUUUUUGCAAAAUUUUUGCAUUCUGUAUUUAUAUUUUAGUUGUACAGCUAUGCAUAUAUAUGUUUAUUUUAAAUCUCCAUAAUAAUGUGGAUUACCAAAGACAGCUGAAAAGGUUUGACUUGCAAUUCACCAUACUCCUACACAUACUUUCAACUGAUUGCAGUGAAACAUCCUUCCUUCAACUCUGUUUAGAUAGGUUGCUAUUCAUCAGCGCGUCCAGCCACAAGUGGGGCUUGGCUGGGGCUUCAGCCGGUGUUUUAAUCAUGAAAACACAUCCAGUGCUUCACUCCAUCCACUCGUCCUAAUAAUGAUUAUGCACUGUUUUUUUUUCUUUUUCUUUUCGUCUUGUUAGUUCCAGUGAUUGGCUUGGGCUUAUUUGACCAAAAACAUAAUUAGGCCGGCACUUGAAAGGGGGAGGAAAACAGCACAGAAGGAGAUAAAGAGCCCCAGACCAACAGCACCGCCACAACAAAACACCAACAAAAACAACAACAUCAAAAAUAUUAUUCCCCAUGACGCAGGCUGGCGGAGUGCCUUAGUGGUGAUGAUAUUUAGCGAGGGAGGAGAGGGUGUCGGGGCUGGCCCUGUGUGUGAUGAUGUGGGAGUCAGGAGGCGAGUGUGGUUACAUAAGCACAUUAAAAACGCUCACAGCCACCGCCUCCUGCCCCAGCCAGCUCUGCACUGCCCCAGGUCUCUUAUUAACCUUCUCUCUCCCUUUCUCUCCAUCUCUGUGUCUCUUUCUCCCCGUCUCUCUCCCUUUCUCUCCAUCUCUGUGUCUCUUUCUCCCCGUCUCUCUCCCUUUCUCUCCAUCUCUGUGUCUCUUUCUCCCUGUCUCAUUCUCUUUCUCUCUUUUUUUUAUUUCACACUUUACGUUUCUCUUUCUUCUCCAAUCUGUCUUUCUCUGUUUCUACAUUACUCAAUUCCAGCUCCUCUAUUAUGUGUGUGUGAGGUAUAUGCAUAGGUCCAUAUAUGAUAUAUAUAUAUAUAUUAAUGUACAUACAUACAUGAAAUGUAAAUACAGAUGUGUAUAUGUAUGUUUAUACUAUGUGCGUGUUUAUGUGCAUUUUUGUGUGUUUACUUGUUGUGUAUCUGUGCAUUUCCACAUAUGUUUAGGGGCCUGGGAGGGAGGGAGAGAG
ensembl:lncRNA